rnacentral:lncRNA from 1 species
CCUGAAGACCCACUUUAAGAAGACCUCCCUCCAGAUGCUGUUUUGGGGGCCCAUUCACCAUCAGUGCCUAACCUGAGAGGUGAGAUCACCCACCUCAAGGAUCAGCUCUGGGGCCACUGUCCCUUCUCCUCCCAUGAGAUUCCAUACUGUCCACCAGCUCAGAGGACGCCCCACCGUGGACACCUCUUCCCUCAGGUUCCCCUCGGGCAGUGUACCUGUGGAACAAGUUCUCACUCCGUGAGUUGGGGCCACACCUCACAAUUCCUGUUAGUGUCACCUCUAAGCUUCCAAGCCCAGGCCUAUCAUUAACCCUCCCUCUCCCCUCUCACUGGCCUGGCUCUCCUGCCCCUUUCCCAAAGUCCCUGCAGAGGCUGCAGGCUCCCCCUCCCCCUCCCCCUCAGAAUAGGGCAAAGUGACAUGAGGAGCGAACCCCAAGGCCAGCAAGGCCAAGCCCGCAGUUUAAACAGAAACCAGCUGCAAAGUAGGAACGCAGCGCGAGCAACCAGGAGAAGACACUCAGUUAGAAAAUGACUUGAAAGAGCUCUUGGUGGCAAUUCGGGGCACCCGCUCCCAUACAGAGCACACACCCAGGCCUGACGGCAGCCUGAGCCAGAGGCCGG